AUUGAACGCUGGCGGCAGGCCUAACACAUGCAAGUCGAGCGAGCGGCGGACGGGUGAGUAAUGUAUGGGGACUGCCCGAUAGAGGGGGAUAACUACUGGAAACGGUGGCUGAUACAGCAUACUAUCGGAUAACCCAUAUGGGAUUAGCUAGUAGGUGGGGUAAUGGCUGAACUGGGCGACGAUCCCGAGCUGGUCUGAGAGGAUGACCAGCCACACUGGAAUGAGGACACGGUCGAGACUCCUACGGAGGCAGCAGUGGGAGAUAUUGCACAAUGGGCGCAAGCCUGGUGCAGCCAUGCCGCGUAUAUGAAGCAGGCCUUAAGGUUGUAAAGUACUUUCAGCGGGGAGGCGUUAGCCGCAGAAGAAGCACCGGCUAACUCCGUGCCAGCAGCCGCGGUAAUAC
rnacentral:rRNA from 1 species